GUGGUUGUGGCUCAGCGGUAGAGCACUUGCCUAGCAUGCGUGGGGCUCUGGGUUCCAUCCUCAGCAGCACA
rnacentral:tRNA from 1 species